GAUGAACGCUGGCGGCGUGCCUAAUACAUGCAAGUCGAGCGAACAGACGAGGAGCUUGCUCCUCUGACGUUAGCGGCGGACGGGUGAGUAACACGUGGAUAACCUACCUAUAAGACUGGGAUAACUUCGGGAAACCGGCGCUAAUACCGGAUAAUAUAUUGAACCGCAUGGUUCAAUAGUGAAAGACGGUUUUGCUGUCACUUAUAGAUGGAUCCGCGCCGCAUUAGCUAGUUGGUAAGGUAACGGCUUACCAAGGCAACGAUGCGUAGCCGACCUGAGAGGGGGAUCGGCCACACUGGAACUGAGACACGGUCCAGACUCCUACGGGAGGCAGCAGUAGGGAAUCUUCCGCAAUGGGCGAAAGCCUGACGGAGCAACGCCGCGUGAGUGAUGAAGGUCUUCGGAUCGUAAAACUCUGUUAUUAGGGAAGAACAAAUGUGUAAGUAACUAUGCACGGCGUGACGGUACCUAAUCAGAAAGCCACGGCUAACUACGUG
rnacentral:rRNA from 1 species